rnacentral:rRNA from 1 species
UGGGGAAUAUUGGACAAUGGGCGCAAGCCUGAUCCAGCCAUGCCGCGUGAGUGACGAAGGUCUUCGGAUUGUAAAGCUCUUUUGGCGGGGACGAUAAUGACGGUACCCGCAGAAUAAGCCCCGGCUAACUUCGUGCCAGCAGCCGCGGUAAUACGAAGGGGGCUAGCGUUGUUCGGAAUUACUGGGCGUAAAGCGCACGUAGGCGGACUGAUAAGUCAGGGGUGAAAUCCCGGGGCUCAACCUCGGAACUGCCUUUGAUACUGUUAGUCUCGAGUCCGGAAGAGGUGAGUGGAAUUCCUAGUGUAGAGGUGAAAUUCGUAGAUAUUAGGAAGAACACCAGUGGCGAAGGCGGCUCACUGGUCCGGUACUGACGCUGAGGUGCGAAAGCGUGGGGAGCAAACAGGAUUAGAUACCCAAGUAGUCCCUGAGCGGGCUGGCAAGGCGCAU